rnacentral:rRNA from 1 species
UGCCAGACUCCUACGGGAGGCAGCAGUGAGGGAUAUUGGGCAAUGGGGGAAACCCUGACCCAGCGACGCCGCGUGAGGGAAGACGGUCUUCGGAUUGUAAACCUCUGUCUUUGGGGACGAAAAAGGACGGUACCCAAGGAGGAAGCUCCGGCUAACUACGUGCCAGCAGCCGCGGUAAUACGUAGGGAGCGAGCGUUGUCCGGAUUUACUGGGUGUAAAGGGCGUGUAGCCGGGCUGACAAGUCAGAUGUGAAAUUCCGGGGCUCAACCCCGGACCUGCAUUUGAAACUGUUGGUCUUGAGUAUCGGAGAGGCAGGCGGAAUUCCUAGUGUAGCGGUGAAAUGCGUAGAUAUUAGGAGGAACACCAGUGGCGAAGGCGGCCUGCUGGACGACAACUGACGGUGAGGCGCGAAAGCGUGGGGAGCAAACAGGAUUAGAUACCCCAGUA